rnacentral:rRNA from 1 species
GAUGAACGCUGGCGGCGUGCCUAAUACAUGCAAGUCGAGCGAAAAGACGCGGAGCUUGCUCCUCUCACGAUAGCGGAGGAGGGGUGUGUAACACGUGGAUAACCUACCUAUAAGACUGGGAUCUCUUCGGGACACCGGAUCUAAUCCCGGAUAAUAUAUUGAACCGCGUGGUUCAAUAGUGAAAGACGGUUUUGCUGUCUGUUAUAGCUGGAUCCGCGCCGCCUUAGCUGGUUGGUAAUGUAACGGCCUACCAAGGCAACGAUGCGUAUCCGACGUGUGGGAGUGAUCGGCCACCCUGGAACGGGGACACGGACCAUACGCCUACGAGAGGCAGCAGUAGGGAAUCUGCCGCAAUGGUCGAAAGCCUUACGGAGUGACGCCGCGUGAGUUAUGAAAAUCUUCGGAGCGUAAAGCUCUGUUAUUAGUGAAGAACAAAUUUGUAAGUAACUAUACACGUCGUGACGGUACCUAAUCAGAAAGCCACGGCUAACUACGUG